rnacentral:tRNA from 1 species
UGGACUAUCGCCAAGUGGUAAGGCAACGGACUUUGACUCCGUCAUCCCGCAGGUUCGAAUCCCGCUAGUCCAACCA